GGUUAAGUGACUAAGCGUACACGGUGGAUGCCUAGGCAGUCAGAGGCGAUGAAGGGCGUGCUAAUCUGCGAAAAGCGUCGGUAAGGUGAUAUGAACCGUUACAACCGGCGAUACCCGAAUGGGGAAACCCAGUGUGUUUCGACACACUAUCAUGUCAUGAAUACAUAGUGGCAUGAGGCGAACCGGGGGAACUGAAACAUCUAAGUACCCCGAGGAAAAGAAAUCAACCGAGAUUCCCCCAGUAGCGGCGAGCGAACGGGGAGGAGCCCAGAACCUGAAUCGGCUUGUGUGUUAGUGGAAGCGUCUGGAAAGUCGCGCAGUAAAGGGUGAUAGCCCCGUACACUAAAAUGCACAGGUCGUGAGUUCGAUGAGUAGGGCGGGACACGUGACAUCCUGUCUGAAUAUGGGGGGACCAUCCUCCAAGGCUAAAUACUCCUGACUGACCGAUAGUGAACCAGUACCGUGAGGAAAGGCGAAAAGAACCCCGGCGAGGGGUGAAAUAGAACCUGAAACCGUGUACGUACAAGCAGUGGGAGCACCUUCGUGGUGUGACUGCGUACCUUUUGUAUAAUGGGUCAGCGACUUAUAUUUUGUAGCAAGGUUAACCGUAUAGGGGAGCCGUAGGGAAACCGAGUCUUAACUGGGCGAAUAGUUGCAAGGUAUAGACCCGAAACCCGGUGAUCUAGCCAUGGGCAGGUUGAAGGUUGGGUAACACUAACUGGAGGACCGAACCGACUAAUGUUGAAAAAUUAGCGGAUGACUUGUGGCUGGGGGUGAAAGGCCAAUCAAACCGGGAGAUAGCUGGUUCUCCCGAAAGCUAUUUAGGUAGCGCCUCGUGAACUCAUCUUCGGGGGUAGAGCACUGUUUCGGCUAGGGGCCAUCCCGGCUUACCAAACCGAUGCAAACUCCGAAUACCGAAGAAUGUUAUCACGGGAGACACACGGCGUGCUAACGUCCGUCGUGAAGAGGAAACAACCCAGACCGCCAGCUAAGGUCCCAAAGUCAUGGUUAAGUGGGAAACGAUGUGGGAAGGCAUAGACGCCAGGAUGUUGGCUUAGAAGCAGCCAUCAUUUAAAGAAAGCGUAAUAGCUCACUGGUCGAGUCGGCCUGCGCGGAAGAUGUAACGGGGCUAAACCAUGCACCGAAGCUGCGGCAGCGACGCUUAGGCGUUGUUGGGUAGGGGAGCGUUCUGUAAGCCGUUGAAGGUGGCCUGUGAGGGUUGCUGGAGGUAUCAGAAGUGCGAAUGCUGACAUAAGUAACGAUAAAGCGGGUGAAAAGCCCGCUCGCCGGAAGACCAAGGGUUCCUGUCCAACGUUAAUCGGGGCAGGGUGAGUCGACCCCUAAGGCGAGGCUGAAAAGCGUAGUCGAUGGGAAACAGGUUAAUAUUCCUGUACUUGGUGUUACUGCGAAGGGGGGACGGAGAAGGCUAGGCUAGCCGGGCGACGGUUGUCCCGGUUUAAGUGUAGGGGGUGUGACCUGGUAAAUCCGGUUACAUAUCAACCCUGAGGCGUGAUGACGAUGCACUACGGUGCAGAAGUAGUUGAUGCCCUGCUUCCAGGAAAGCCUCUAAGCUCUAGGUAACAUUGAAUCGUACCCCAAACCGACACAGGUGGUCAGGUAGAGAAUACCAAGGCGCUUGAGAGAACUCGGGUGAAGGAACUAGGCAAAAUGGUGCCGUAACUUCGGGAGAAGGCACGCUGGCAUGUAGGUGAAGUCCUUCGCGGAUGGAGCUGAAGCCAGUCGAAGAUACCAGCUGGCUGCAACUGUUUAAUAAAAACACAGCACUGUGCAAACACGAAAGUGGACGUAUACGGUGUGACGCCUGCCCGGUGCUGGAAGGUUAAUUGAUGGGGUCAGCCGCAAGGCGAAGCUCUUGAUCGAAGCCCCAGUAAACGGCGGCCGUAACUAUAACGGUCCUAAGGUAGCGAAAUUCCUUGUCGGGUAAGUUCCGACCUGCACGAAUGGCGUAAUGAUGGCCAGGCUGUCUCCACCCGAGACUCAGUGAAAUUGAACUCGCUGUGAAGAUGCAGUGUACCCGCGGCAAGACGGAAAGACCCCGUGAACCUUUACUAUAGCUUGACACUGAACAUUGAGCCUUGAUGUGUAGGAUAGGUGGGAGGCUUUGAAGCGUGGACGCCAGUCUGCGUGGAGCCAUCCUUGAAAUACCACCCUUUAAUGUUUGAUGUUCUAACUCGGCCCCAUAAUCUGGGGUGAGGACAGUGUCUGGUGGGUAGUUUGACUGGGGCGGUCUCCUCCCAAAGAGUAACGGAGGAGCACGAAGGUUAGCUAAUCACGGUCGGACAUCGUGAGGUUAGUGCAAAGGCAUAAGCUAGCUUGACUGCGAGAGUGACGGCUCGAGCAGGUACGAAAGUAGGUCUUAGUGAUCCGGUGGUUCUGAAUGGAAGGGCCAUCGCUCAACGGAUAAAAGGUACUCCGGGGAUAACAGCUGAUACCGCCCAAGAGUUCAUAAUAUCGACGGCGGUGUUUGGCACCUCGAUGUCGGCUCAUCACAUCCUGGGGCUGAAGUAGGUCCCAAGGGUAUGGCUGUUCGCCAUUUAAAGUGGUACGCGAGCUGGGUUUAGAACGUCGUGAGACAGUUCGGUCCCUAUUCGCCGGGCGUUGGAAGAUUGAGAGGGUUGCUCCUAGUACGAGAGGACCGGAGUGAACGCACCACUGGUGUUCGGGUUGUCAUGCCAAUGGCAUUGCCCGGUAGCUAAGUGCGGAAAAGAUAAGCGCUGAAAGCAUCUAAGCGCGAAACUUGCCUCAAGAUGAGUCUUCCCUGGGCCUUUAAGGUCCCUGAAGGAACGUUUAAGACUAAGACGUUGAUAGGCUGGGUGUGUAAGUGCAGCGAUGCAUUGAGCUAACCAGUACUAAUGAUCCGUGAGGCUUAACCUU
rnacentral:rRNA from 1 species